CUCCCCACUCCCUUUGUCUUUUAGCAGGGAGUGCCUGCUACUUUAAGAUCCUUAUAUUUGUACAAGGUAUACGAUUUUAAUUGACCACACCAUGUCCCUUCGACAUUAAUGUACAUAACUGCAACUUAGUUCAUCUUAUCCUGUUGCCCUCCAUUUGCAGUAUAUCAGGGUUGCUGACCCAUAUAUGCCCAUUCCUUGGCCUGUUAAUGUGCAUAAUUGCAUUUGGUUCUUGGGCAGUAGACAAGGAUCCCCUCCUCCCCCACAUUUCCUAUGCCUUCCAGUAGGUUGUGCCCACCACCAAGACCUUUCUAUUUGGACAGUUAAUGUGCAGAAUUGCAGUUUUUCACAACCCUGUUACUUCUAGGACUAUUUUAUCUCCUUUGUAAUACUGCAGGGGAUACUGUUUUCCCCCAAGGUCCCUUCUAGUGGACUGUUAAUAUACAUAAUUGAAAUUGUUGUCUUUAUCAGUAGACUAAUGUCAUAUCCCCUCAGCUAACUAUCAUGACCUCAGCUCUUGGACAAUUAAUAUGCACCAAUAACAUAUCAAAAGUACGAUCAUUAGAUAGGACCCCUGUACCCUCACUGUAUACAUCAGAGGUACUGACUAAGGCCCCUUUUUUGGACUGAUAAUGUGAAUAUUUGCAAUUAUCUAUUCUUUCUUCUUUUUAGAGUCGGAUAGCAUCCCUUUGCACCCCCUUUGCAUUACUGCAGGGGCUGCUAAUGACACAAAACUUCUACUGGCACUGCUGAUGAGCACAAUGGCAUUUAGCAAUGGGUUUUUCCUCCCUGGCUUUGUUAGGCAAGCAUUCCCAGCUCCAGCUUCCCAUGGCAUAAUAAAGUAUAAACACUGCAGUAUGCUGUGAACUUGUCCAUCAAACAACGACCCAUACUCCCACUCCUUUUGCAUUGGCUCCAGUGUAUCAAAUUCCAAGUAGUCAUAGUCUUGCCAUUAUCUUCCCUCUCCAGACCACUUGCCUGCCCUUGGACCCUUCUUAUGGAAUAUUAAUGCUCACAAUUUCAGGUGUCCAUGUAUCCAGAUAAGAUUGUGCUCUCUUGCCCCUCCUGCUCCUGCCCUGCCCCUUUUGCAUAGUUGAUGGGAAAUGUUGACUGAGCAAAAUGCUUUUCUCUUGGACUUAAAACGUUAACAAUCUCAGAUGUCAUUGUUUUGCCCAUUUUGAAUUUCUGUAAUACCUUGGUUGCACUUUCUUUGGUCCGGCCCGUUAGACAUGGACCCUUCCACUUCCUUCUUUGCAUUACUUCUGAGUAGUGCUGACCUCCCACAACCCCUUCGGUGUUAUUAACACAGUAUUAAUUGUCCCAUUUUUUAGCCCAUCAGCCCAAGAUCUCCCUACCACUUUGAUGUUGUGUUUGUGCAGUAUUGACUACCAAAAGCAAGCCUGAACUAGGUGGCUGGGCCUUCACUCCUUUUCCUGCAUUUGUCAAUGAUCCCAGUUCCAAUUCUUUUCACAUUCUGGGGACAGGAACCAUUCCUACCCCCCUCUUACUGCUUUACUAGGCAAAAUGCCCAAGGCAAGUCAGACCCAAGGGAACUGGAUUGCUAUCCUUUAUUUUGGGUUUUCAUUAUACAUAAGUAUCAAUUGAAAAUUGUCUCCCCAGGAAGGAAGUUUAGCACUAUCUGUGCAUUCUUCCUUUCAAAGCAGAUUGCCUGGCUAAGACUCUCUCCUCUCUUCUUGUAUAUUGCCAUUGUAUAGUGUCAACUGCCAAGAUACAACCAAAAAGUUGCUGUUAAGUUUUUAUGUUGUAAGGAAGAUUGCAAGUUAGAAUUGAUAACCUGGUCAUUGAAAUUUUGAAGUCUAAAAACCUAUUUAUACCAUGUACCUGAUGACCAGUGUCUCUCAUUUUACUAAGGGUGGUGGGUCUGUGGAUAGACCACUGUGACUUUGAUAUUUUAGUAUGAUCAAAGGAGUUCUAGAGUGGAACUCUUAAGACCAGUAUCUUUGGGCUCUACCACCAUUUUCAAACCAUUCCUUGUUUGGGCUUUAACAAUUUUCACUUUUAGAAAAACUACCUAAACCUCCUAAUCCUUAAAUUUUUUCAUCUGGAGCUCCAACCAGCCCCUACUUAUUUCAAGAAGAUUGCUGUAAAAGGAUAAAAAUGAGAGAACAUAUGCUGAGGUGCUUUUGAAAACCAUAGAUCAAUUUAUUUGAUUAAUCUAUUACAUAAAAUGCCCCCUGUUUAAUUCUGCUAAUUUAAAGUAGCCUAAAGCACCACACUGAAGUGAGGACUUAGAAAUGAUGGAACCAGUUUCCCCAUUUUAUAUGAAAAGAAAAAUAAGCCAAGGUCUAAUCAUUCUUUCGGAUAUAAAUUUCAACAGUGAGGUAGCUGCCUGGUAAAAAUGAAUAGUGUUCCAGCUCUAGUGUACAGGGUGUUUGGUGGCAGAGAAGUAUUUAAUAUGGAACUGCUGGAGCAAAUAACUAGUUAUCACUACAGCAGUUCUUUGUAAUCACUGAGAAAGGAUACUCUUCUCUGAGAAGGAUGUCAAAAGAUUCGCCCAGCUCAGGGUGCUGUUUGCACUACUAGCUCCUUGGACAGCUGUAAGAAGUCUCUGGCUCUUUAGAAUACUGGAUGAAUUCUGAGCUGGUACCCCCACUCAAGAGGAAGGAUGGAUCGAUUUUAGGUGGAUUGAAGCCUGCCCUAGACAGCAUCCAAAGUCCUUCUGUGAUACUGCCAGUGCUUGCCAUUACAGGACCUUAAGGAGACAACAGGCUAGAGAGGAGAGACAGGAGACACCUAUAUCUAAUGCUUCAGGACAUUCUGAGCAUGUGAGACCUGAGGAACUGCAAGCAGCUUUAAGAAGCUCUACAUUCAACAAGUCUUUCCUUUUAAGAAUCUGGAUAAGCUCCAACCAAUCUAAGAGGAUGGCUUGCCGGCUCCCUGGAGAAAAAGAUCUUCCUCAGAAGAAUAGGCUUGUUGCUUUACAGUGUUAAUGACCCAUUCCCUUUGACGAUCCCUAGGUGGAGAUGGGGCAUGAGGAUCCUCCAAGGGAAAAACUCACUAUCACUGAGCAACAACCCUAGGCCAGGAGGUUCUACCAAGAUUCUUUCCUGGGCCCAGUUAGGAGGAUGAAAUCUCAAGACAACCACCACACAUCCAGAGGAGAACAUGGACAACAACUGCCACAUCUGUGACAUUGAUCAUGGGCAGAUCAUCAUUCUGGACCCUCUGGUCUCCAAAGUCUCCCUUGAGGCCCUGUUGGAGAACUUUGCCAAUCAUUUACGUACUUCAGGAUGCCUUGGGAUAGCUGUUGGACAAAAGAAAAAACAAGCUGUUUGAGAAGAUAAAACAGAGCUGUGUCUUUUUAUGCUGUGCCUGCUAAUUGACAGAAACUUCACAGCUAUGAGUGGGAAUGUGACUAGAAGUGGCACAAAGUUAUCUAUCGUCAGGCUGGAUCUAAAGAACUAGCACCCUGCGUAUUCUAGCUCCUGAUUGUUCCCUUCAUAUCUGUCCAAUCAUUAUCUUUCCCAGAAGCAGUGCAAAGAGCAAGACAUUUGAACACACCAAAGGAAGAUCAACAUGCCUGGCACUCUAGAAUUUUAGAAUAGCAGAAUGAAUGUGUCUUUGUUUGCUUAUCUAUUUCUUCCUUGAAUGUCUUUGGUCUUUCUCCUCUAACUAAAGUGUGUCUUACCCAUUUCCAUGAUUCUCUUACUAGUUUCUUCUCUGUAUAUCUUUGUCUCAUUUUCUUUCUUGUACCCAAGAGUGGUCUGUGUCUUGUCUUAGAUGUCUCUCUCUAGUGUUUUCAUUUUGUUACUGAUUCUCCUUGCUCUCCUAGAUCUGGCUCUUCUUUCACUGUUUGUCUCUUUGCGUCUCUUGAGUCACAUGCUGUGUGCCUUUUGCUCACUGCUUGCUAUGCCUACCUCUCUUCUUUUUCUCUUUGUGAACUGUUUGUCACCCCCUCCCCUUGAUGGUUUGACAUUUCACCUUUUCUGAUACUGGCCACCCUUCUGCUGUUUCUACUCUUUAUCUUGCAUUGCUCUUUUCUACAUAUUCUUUCUGCCUCUCUUGGGCCAUUUUCUCUUUUCUUCCUGCUUUGUGUGCCCCAGUGUCUCUUUGUUCUUUGUGAUUUUCCAUGUCAGUAUUCAUCUCUGUGUUCUCUUAUUUCUUCUCUGCUUUUGCCUUUCUACUUACCUUUGAGUAUUUCAGUCUCUUCUUGAGUCUAUGUCUCCCCCACUUUGAUUUCAUGCAGUCCUCUCUCCUUGCAUACUUUUUGUGCAUGUGUGUGUGCAUGCUUUUGUGUGUGUGUGUGUUUGUAACAAAGGGGUCUCCUAACCCCUUCCUAAUAGGUGCAGAGUGUCAGCUAUCAAAAUAUAAGCAUUGAAGAGCUGUUCCUUAUGCCAGGCCGCCUGUGAGAUGAUCCAAGACCAAUAAAAGGCCCAAAGGUCUAGACUGGAGUUGGACGGAAGACUCAAGUCUCGGUGAGACAGAAGGCCAAAGACCCAGGAUGGGAUGAAAAGCCUUCGCUUGAAGACCUAUGACCCAAAAAUGGAAGGGCCCAAGCACACAUAAAGACCCAGAACUCAAGCCUGUCUAUAUAGACAGAAGGCCCAAGAGAGACAGAUAUCUCCAGCCUAAAUUAGGCGGGAAGCUGGAGGCCCAUGACCCAGAAUCCAGGAAGGAUAGAAGCCCCAAGACCAAAGGAAAUUCCAAGAUGAGAACCCUAAACCGCAGCUCUUUUCUAUUGUUCUCCUCCCUACUCUUGGACAUUUUCAGUUCUCCCUUCCCUGUUCUCAUAUCUCCAUUUAAACCCACUUCUUUUGAGAUGUCAUUUUUGACGUUGCUGCUACUUUAAAGAAACACACCUUUAGAUCAGUAAUAUUAUGCCUGGGCCAGUCUUAAGCCAGUUUUUAUCGCACUUUUAAGCCAUUUAUUAAGGUUUUGGUGUUUUGCAAAGUUCCAUUUCUCUUCACCUCCUCUCCACUUGAGAGGGACACAUAGGUGACUUUAUAUUUCAGUCCCUUCUUUCCUCAGAAGCUCUAGGCUGAUGAGAGAAGUAAAGCAUCAGGUUACUGAGUGGAAAAUAAGUGCCAGGCUAUCUAGAGAAAAUGUGAAGAGAUGCUCCAGGCCAAUGAGAAGAACUAGACAAGAAAUACACAGAUGUGCCAGCUUGCUGAGAAGCACCAGCCAGCAACAUAUUACUUCUUUGAGCUUGGUUUCUGGCAUCCCAAGACUACCACUACUGCUAAAAAAGAAUAAGAACAUGUUAUCAUCUGAUUUUUGUGGCAUAAAUGAAGUUGUGAAAAAAUCUUUUUUUACAAAGGAAAUGGCUUCAUCUUUAUCCUUCUACCUCAAAGGGAAUCUAUGCCAGAAUGCUCCGAUGAAUGGAAGGCACACUUGGACUUGUGAACUGAAGUGAAACGCAGAAUCUCUGAGCCAUGGUUGUUUUGAAGAUCGAAAAGUCUUGUUCAGCAUGGGUGACCAGCAAAAAAGCAAUCUAGAGCUGUCUGUAUGUCACAACUGAGACAAAUUGGGGAGUUUGUUGUUUAAUGCCAAAUAAAAAUGUACUGUUUUGAAAA